UAUUUAGAAGUGGGACUUGGGUUGGGACUAACACAACUUUAAAAAUUGAUACUAAAAGCAUUCAAGUUGUACUAUACUAUGGCAUAAAUUUUUUGUACCUUUAUCAUUAGGUGUUUGUACCUUUUUACAACUAUGCAUUCGUUUCUUUAUCCUUUCCCAUGUAACACGUGUAAUUGCAUACAUCUCACUACCAUCCUUCAAAGAUUGAAAUUGGGUCUCACUUCUUCUCCCUUAUUUAGAAGUGGGACUUGGGUUGGGACUAACACAACUUUAAAAAUUGAUACUAAAAGCAUUCAAGUUGUACUAUACUAUGGCAUAAAUUUUUUGUACCUUUAUCAUUAGGUGUUUGUACCUUUUUACAACUAUGCAUUCGUUUCUUUAUCCUUUCCCAUGUAACACGUGUAAUUGCAUACAUCUCACUACCAUCCUUCAAAGAUUGAAAUUGGGUCUCACUUCUUCGAAGCUUCAAAUUUUAAAGAAAAUCCGGCAAAGUAGACAAGCUGAGUUUGGUCUCGAAUGGAUUGCUUUCCACAACAUGGAAUAGAAUAUGUACUUUUUCUAAUACCUCAUCUCAUUGCAUGUUCUAAUGAUGUUGUCUUUUGGUUCCAUUUGAAAGUUUACGGGCAUCGAAAUCUCUGCUGGGUAGGAAAUACCGUCAUUCGGUAUUUUAAUUCUAUGAUUGUUUUUGGUUUUUGUUCCAAUUUUUGCUUAAUUUAGGAUUUAUACCACUUAGGUUAGAGAACAUCAUAGAAACAACCUCUCUGCAUUUCAAGGUAAGUGUAAAAUUACUAACAUGGGUUGUGGUAACGGGUGGAAAUUUUCAUACUUAACCAAAAAUUUCGUGUUCGAGCCCUGGAUAUAGAAAAAAUUUUAUUGGGAGCGCCACCCCAGAAUGGACCUUGCAGUGCGAUUUGGAUUUAAUCGCAGCUCCAAUGUAGGCUCCGGACACCGAGUGGGAAACUGAUAAAAGGUUAUAUACUUUGCUUGGCUGGAGUAGUAUGGUUAGAUUCUUCUGCAUAGACUUUUAGAAAUCAAUAAGUCACACAAUUAUGAAUUAUUUUGAUAGACUAAGGCGAUAUCUUUGAUAUAGAAUUAGGAACAUUGCGACUUUAAGAACAAGAUUAAAAUUAUUUUGAUGAAUGGUGGUUAGCCUGUACAUGAAUAUAGCCGGUAUGUACCUAUUUUACUCAUAUUCUAUAUUGUUCUUUCUUCUGCUACUGGUUGAAUGCUUAAUCUCCAUUUUUUUUUUAUCUAAGGGUAAUAUUUAUAUCUGGGAGAAGUCUUUGUUGAGUUGAAAUCAAAUGUUUCUCAUCGAAAUAUGUGAAUCUUCGGAAGACUUGAUUGAAGGAUUUUUGCGCUUGAUUUCUUCCCGGAUAUGAGGAAUUGUUCUCUGUCAUUGGUGAAUUAUGUUGUAAAAAUUUUGAUAAAAAAAGUACCUCAUUGUAGAUGGGUUAACUAACUCUAAAGAUUUACAACUACUAAAUUUCAUUUGCAGUGAAAAAUGACCUUCCACGAGCAGGGGAAACAAAGAGGUCUACAAACUACAUCUCUUAUUAAUCAUAGACCACUUGCACCUGCUAUUUCAUGGGACCAAAGAGCUUUAGGUGAACCACUUUCAUACAGUGAUAUGUUACGACUUCUCGAGUCCGCUGUAGAGCAGUUUGCUCCACCUAAUUUACAAGCUCAAAUGAUCGCGGAAAAGUCUCAUUUGCAGGUGGAAAAAACCAUCAAAAUGUUUGCAAAUGCAAAUAGAGACUUUUUAAGGUUCAAGUGAAGGAGGAUGGAAAGGACGGCAAACAAACUGCUAUUCUGAUCUACGAGUAGUUCAUAUUGAGAGAUAAUCUUACUUAUGGUCUUCUAUGCGGGUUAUGAGGCACCAAACUCGGAGAGAAUCAAAUAGGGAAUAUGCCUAUUUACUACGGAGACGAAGAAUCAGUGAUACCUAGCCCUCCAUAUACCUGCAAUUUCACAAAAGAAUUGAAGAGAAUGAGGAAGAUGAUCAUCAACAGAUCUUUGGAGCUCUCCUUUGUGUUAAAUAUAGUGUUUAGGGAGAUUAGAUGUAUUUUGGUUUGACUACGGUAUUAGGAAAUAACCAUAUUUGACUCUGUAUUUAUGUGAUUAUUAUAUGCUCGAUUGAGUUGUGCAAAUUUUAGUUUUUCAAGUGAUAAAAACAUGAAAUUUCCUUCCAA